GAUGAAGAACGUAGCGAAAUGCGAUAAGUAAUGUGAAUUGCAGAAUUCAGUGAAUCAUCGAAUCUUUGAACGCACAUUGCGCCCAUUAGCAUUCUAGUGGGCAUGCCUGUUCGAGCGUCAUUUCAACCCUUAAGCCCUGUUGCUUAGCGUUGGGAGCCUACAGUACUGUAGCUCCCCAAAGUUAGUGGCGGAGUCGGUUUCACACUCUAGACGUGGUAAUUUUUUCUCGUCUGUAGUUGAGCCGGUCCCCUGCCGUAAAACACCCAAUUUAUCAAGGUUGACCUCGGAUCAGGUAGGAAUACCCGCUGAACUUAAGCAUAUCAAUAAGCGGAGGA
rnacentral:misc_RNA from 1 species